GUAAUGUCUGGGAAACUGCCUGAUGGAGGGGGAUAACUACUGGAAACGGUGGCUAAUACCGCAUAACGUCGCAAGACCAAAGAGGGGGACCUUCGGGCCUCUUGCCAUCAGAUGUGCCCAGAUGGGAUUAGCUAGUUGGUGAGGUAACGGCUCACCAAGGCGACGAUCCCUAGCUGGUCUGAGAGGAUGACCAGCCACACUGGAACUGAGACACGGUCCAGACUCCUACGGGAGGCAGCAGUGGGGAAUAUUGCACAAUGGGCGCAAGCCUGAUGCAGCCAUGCCGCGUGUAUGAAGAAGGCCUUCGGGUUGUAAAGUACUUUCAGCGGGGAGGAAGGUGUUGUGGUUAAUAACCGCAGCAAUUGACGUUACCCGCAGAAGAAGCACCGGCUAACUCCGUGCCAGCAGCCGCGGUAAUACGGAGGGUGCAAGCGUUAAUCGGAAUUACUGGGCGUAAAGCGCACGCAGGCGGUCUGUCAAGUCGGAUGUGAAAUCCCCGGGCUCAACCUGGGAACUGCAUUCGAAACUGGCAGGCUUGAGUCUUGUAGAGGGGGGUAGAAUUCCAGGUGUAGCGGUGAAAUGCGUAGAGAUCUGGAGGAAUACCGGUGGCGAAGGCGGCCCCCUGGACAAAGACUGACGCUCAGGUGCGAAAGCGUGGGGAGCAAACAGGAUUAGAUACCCUGGUAGUCCACGCCGUAAACGAUGUCUACUUGGAGGUUGUGCCCUUGAGGCGUGGCUUCCGGAGCUAACGCGUUAAGUAGACCGCCUGGGGAGUACGGCCGCAAGGUUAAAACUCAAAUGAAUUGACGGGGGCCCGCACAAGCGGUGGAGCAUGUGGUUUAAUUCGAUGCAACGCGAAGAACCUUACCUGGUCUUGACAUCCACAGAACUUUCCAGAGAUGGAUUGGUGCCUUCGGGAACUGUGAGACAGGUGCUGCAUGGCUGUCGUCAGCUCGUGUUGUGAAAUGUUGGGUUAAGUCCCGCAACGAGCGCAACCCUUAUCCUUUGUUGCCAGCGGUCCGG
rnacentral:rRNA from 1 species